UACAGAGGUCUCAAGCGUUGUUCGGAUUCAUUGGGCGUAAAGGGUGCGUAGGCGGCGCGGUAAGUCGGGUGUGAAAUCUCGGGGCUUAACUCCGAAACUGCAUUCGAUACUGCCGUGCUUGAGGACUGGAGAGGAGACUGAAAUUUACGGUGUAGCGGUGAAAUGCGUAGAUAUCGUAAGGAAGACCAGUGGCGAAGGCGGGUCUCUGGACAGUUCCUGACGCUGAGGCACGAAGGUCAGGGGAGCAAACGGG
rnacentral:rRNA from 1 species